UACAGAGGUCCCAAGCGUUGUUCGGAUUCACUGGGCGUAAAGGGUGCGUAGGUGGUGAGGUAAGUCGGAUGUGAAAUCUCCGAGCUCAACUCGGAAAUGGCAUUGGAAACUGCCUUGCUAGAGGAUCGGAGGGGGGACUGGAAUACUUGGUGUAGCAGUGAAAUGCGUAGAUAUCAAGCGGAACACCAGUGGCGAAGGCGAGUCCCUGGACAACUCCUGACACUGAUGCACGAAAGCUAGGGGAGCAAACAGG
rnacentral:rRNA from 1 species